ACGUAGGGGGCAAGCGUUGUCCGGAGUUACUGGGCGUAAAGCGCCCGCAGGCGGUCUUCUAAGUUCAGACUGACAAUCCCCAGCUUAACUGGGGAGGGUGUAUGAAAACUGGGAGACUUGAGGGAUAGAGAGGGACAUGGAAUUCCGGGUGGAGUGGUGAAAUGCGUAGAUAUCCGGAGGAACACCAAAGGCGAAGGCAAUGUCCUGGCUAUUUCCUGACGCUGAGGGGCGAAAGCUAGGGGAGCGAACGGGAUUAGAUACCCCGGUAGUCCUAGCCGUAAACGAUGACCACUAGAUGUUCGGGGUAUCGACCCCCUGAGUAUCGUAGCAAACGCGAUAAGUGGUCCGCCUGGGGAGUACGGUCGCAAGAUUA
rnacentral:rRNA from 1 species